UCGCCAUCAUGUCUGCCGUUUGAACGGCCUUUUGGCAUCGGCUAAUACGAUUUCAUUUUUUUUAAUUCAUCAUGGAUAUUACAAAACUUUCUCAAAUACUAGCAUGUACUUUAGAUCCCAGUUUGCGAGUUGAAGCUGAAAGACAAUUAAAUGAGUUUUAUCAAACUCCAGGAUUUGUAUCUCAGUUGCUUCAAGUCGUGAUGUCCACAGAUGCUCAACAAUCCAUACGGCAAUCCGCUGGUAUAUAUCUAAAGAAUAUGAUCACCCAUUGUUGGCGCAACAGAGAGCAAAGAGAUGCUGUUGGGAAUGAAACUAUCUUUGUAAUUUCAAAUGAAGAUAAAAAUUUGAUAAGAAGCAACAUCAUCGAGGCCAUUAUUCAAUCACCUGAACUCAUAAGGCUUCAAUUGACAGUUUGUGUCAGUAAAAUAAUGUUACAUGACUUUCCGGAGUUUUGGCCUACAGCACCUCAAAUUAUUCAUAAUUAUCUUGCAAGUGAUAAUCAAUCAUCUUGGUUUGGUUCCCUCGUUGGUCUUUAUCAGUUAGUGAAGAAAUACGAAUAUAAGAAAGCUGAUGAACGGAUCGUUCUUCAUAAUAUUAUGAAAGAGUUUUUGCCUCUCCUAUAUCAACGAUGUGCUGGUUUGAUGCAGGAUCAAUCUACUUCCGCUACUGAAAUAAAGAAAAUGAUUAUAAAGAUUAUAUUUGCUGUUUUUCAGUAUCACCUUCCUACGGAUGUAUUUACUGAACAAAAUCUUCCUCCCUGGAUGCAUAUAUAUCAGCAAAUAGUGGAUCAACAGGUUCCUCAGGAAUGUUUAGAUUUGAAUGACGACGACGAGAGAGAGAAGUCUUCAUGGUGGAAACUAAAGAAAUGGGCAAUUCAUUCAAUGUGGCGAUUAUUUGACCGAUACGGUACACCAGGGUCGAUUGAUAAAGCCUAUGAAGGCUUUGCUAAUUAUUUUUGCAAGACAUUCGCUGUUAACAACACACAAACUGUAUUAAAGCUGCUAGACCAGUAUAGAAGACAGAUGUAUGUUGCACCGCGAGUCUUACAAAUAGCCAUAAAUUACUUGAAAACUGGUGUUUCGAACGCUCUUCAUUGGAAAGUCAUGAAACCACAUGUCCACGCAAUUAUUGUAGAGAUAGUUUUUCCCAUAAUGAGUCACACAGAUGAAGAUGAAGAACUAUGGCAAGACGAUCCUUAUGAAUUUAUUCGUUUCAAGUACGAUGUGUACGAGGAUUUUGUAUCACCUGUUACAGCAGCUCAGAGUUUUUUACGGAAAGCGACAGAAAAGCGCAAACAAAUAUUAGAUCCCGUCAUGAAUUUUUGUGUACAAAUUUUGAAUGCGCCAGCAGAAACGAGAAAUCCCCGACAAAAGGACGGUAUCCUACAUAUGAUUGGUACAUUAUCGGAUAUAUUACUUAAGAAACAAAAAUACAAGUUUCACAUGGAAGCCAUGUUAUCUCAUCACGUGUUUCCCGAAACAGAAAGUCCUUUGGGGUUUAUGCGCGCUAGGGCCUGUUGGGUGGUCAAUUAUUUCAGUAAGAUUGAAUUCAAAAACGAAGGGAAUCUUAAACGCGCUGUGGAAACUGUUCGAGUCUGUCUUCUUCAUGAUAAAGAAUUACCUGUAAAGGUCGAGGCAGCUCUUGCCUUGCAAUUUCUCAUCCAGAGACAAGAUAAAGUGAAAGAUUAUAUUCAACCGUACAUACAAGCUGUCAUUCAAGAACUACUCAGUGUUAUACGAGAGACGGAGAACGAUGAUCUUACAGAUGCUUUACAAGAUCUUAUUAAGCAAUACAAGGAUGAUCCAAGGUUGGGAGAAAUGGCUGUUAUGAUAGCACAGCAUUUGGCAAUGACUUUCAAGAAUCUUCUUGAUUCAGAAGAAUCUGACGAUAAAGCCGUCACAGCAAUGGGGAUCUUAACGAAUUUUGAUACGAUGAUGACUGUAAUAGAGUCUAAGGAGAUUUGUGAUCAGUUGGAGAAAAUUGUUUCAGGCAUUAUCGAAGCUGUGUUAAAGGAAGGAAUUAUAGAUUUCUAUGAAGAUGUGCUCACCAUUAUGGUAACUGCGACGCUGUAUCAUGUGUCGCCGUUGAUGUGGAACUUGUUAUAUGUUAUGUAUGAAGCGUUCGAAAGAGAUGGUUUUGAUUUUUUCACAGAUAUGUCCAGCCCACUUCAUAAUUAUAUCACUGUAAAUCCAGAAGCAUUCAUUUCCAAUUCAAAGAAUAUGGAAAUCGUUUUUGCAAUGUGUCAUAAGAUGCUGUCUGACGAUGAUUGUGGCGAGGAUGCUCAGUGCUACGCUGCCAAAAUUCUAGAAGUUGUAAUAUUGCAGUUUCCUGGACGCAUUGAUCAAUGGAUCACACCAUUUGCUCAGCUGGCGUUGGCAAGGUUGACGAGGAACGUUGUCACCAGUGAAUUACGAGUGAUGUGUUUGCAAGUUGUUGUAUCAACGCUUUACUACAAUCCAAUAUUUCUUCCAACGAUCCUGGACAAGUUGCAUCUUCCCGAGUCUAGCGAACCCAUCACUGUACAAUUUUUUGCGCAAUGGAUGGAUGAUGCCAAUUGCUUCUUUGGAUUACAUGAUAGAAAAAUGUUUGUGCUUGGUCUUUGCUCCAUACUGGGUAUUCGCAGUGACAUGAGACCAAAAGGGCUCCAUGACUGCGCAUCACAAAUACUUCCAUCUCUGUUGUUGAUCUUUUCUGGUCUUCAAAAACAUAUGAAAGACAAGCAUUGUCGAAUGAAAAUAGUGAUGGCGACGAUGACGAGAACUUCAAUGAUGACGAUAAUGCAAACGAAGGAGAGUUAGAAAGUGAUGAUGAUGAAGUUAAUGAAGAUGAUAUUGUUUAUGUAGAAAAUCUCGCAAAGCGGGCGAGUAAUGCCAUGCUUAAUUACGAAGCUGAUGAUGAAGAUGAUGAAACAGAUCUUGAAGCAUAUACAACUGCAAUCGACAAUGAAGAUUCGGUUGAUGAAUAUGCAGUAUUCAAACAGUGCUUGUUGAAUAUUCAAGCGCAAGAUCCGGCCUGGUACAAUCAGUUGACUAAUUCUCUUAACGAUCAACAAAAACGAGAUCUACAACAUUUGUUUGUUCUUGCUGACCAGCGAAGAGCAGCUCAAGAAACGCGUCGACUGGACAUGCAAGGUGGAUAUAAUUUUGCGAACACAAGCGUACCAUCAAAUUUUUCUUUUGGAUAAACGCGUUUUUUGGCGGCUAUCCGAGAGAUUUUAUAAAACUACCUCAUUCAUGGAAUCCAAAUUUCAACUGCGAUGUCAGCUUUAUUGAACCAUAAUGAUAUAAAAUGUAAAUUCUGAUUGGGUAAGGUAUUUCCCAGGCUAUAGUAACUCUAAUAAAAUAAAUGCAUCAAUAUUUUUAUGUUCUGCAUGUGCAUGAAAACGAAAUUUAAUCUCGUUUUAUGUUACGCUUGCAGGUACCUCAUUUGUAAUUUAAAAAAUAAAUAUAUGUUAUUUGCUGGAUGGGAAAGUAUUUGCCCGUGGCGACGUUUUUUAAACCGAGGGGAAAUAUUUUUUCCAUCCUGGACCUACCUAAACGGUAAA